UCAAGAUGAGAUAUCCCAUUCGUAAGAAUUAAGACCCCUUGAAGACGACGAGGUUGAUAGGUCAGAGGUGGAAGUGCAGUAAUGUAUGUAGCUGACUGAUACUAAUAGGUCGAGGGCUUAUCCAUAA
rnacentral:rRNA from 1 species